rnacentral:rRNA from 1 species
AAAUUGAAGAGUUUGAUCAUGGCUCAGAUUGAACGCUGGCGGCAGGCCUAACACAUGCAAGUCGAACGGUAACAGGAAGCAGCUUGCUGCUUUGCUGACGAGUGGCGGACGGGUGAGUAAUGUCUGGGAAACUGCCUGAUGGAGGGGGAUAACUACUGGAAACGGUAGCUAAUACCGCAUAAUGUCGCAAGACCAAAGAGGGGGACCUUCGGGCCUCUUGCCAUCGGAUGUGCCCAGAUGGGAUUAGCNNNNNNNNNNNNNNNNNNNNNNNNNAGGCGACGAUCCCUAGCUGGUCUGAGAGGAUGACCAGCCACACUGGAACUGAGACACGGUCCAGACUCCUACGGGAGGCAGCAGUGGGGAAUAUUGCACAAUGGGCGCAAGCCUGAUGCAGCCAUGCCGCGUGUAUGAAGAAGGCCUUCGGGUUGUAAAGUACUUUCAGCGGGGAGGAAGGGAGUAAAGUUAAUACCUUUGCUCAUUGACGUUACCCGCAGAAGAAGCACCGGCUAACUCCGUGCCAGCAGCCGCGGUAAUACGGAGGGUGCAAGCGUUAAUCGGAAUUACUGGGCGUAAAGCGCACGCAGGCGGUUUGUUAAGUCAGAUGUGAAAUCCCCGGGCUCAACCUGGGAACUGCAUCUGAUACUGGCAAGCUUGAGUCUCGUAGAGGGGGGUAGAAUUCCAGGUGUAGCGGUGAAAUGCGUAGAGAUCUGGAGGAAUACCGGUGGCGAAGGCGGCCCCCUGGACGAAGACUGACGCUCAGGUGCGAAAGCGUGGGGAGCAAACAGGAUUAGAUACCCUGGUAGUCCACGCCGUAAACGAUGUCGACUUGGAGGUUGUGCCCUUGAGGCGUGGCUUCCGGAGCUAACGCGUUAAGUCGACCGCCUGGGGAGUACGGCCGCAAGGUUAAAACUCAAAUGAAUUGACGGGGGCCCGCACAAGCGGUGGAGCAUGUGGUUUAAUUCGAUGCAACGCGAAGAACCUUACCUGGUCUUGACAUCCACGGAAGUUUUCAGAGAUGAGAAUGUGCCUUCGGGAACCGUGAGACAGGUGCUGCAUGGCUGUCGUCAGCUCGUGUUGUGAAAUGUUGGGUUAAGUCCCGCAACGAGCGCAACCCUUAUCCUUUGUUGCCAGCGGUCCGGCCGGGAACUCAAAGGAGACUGCCAGUGAUAAACUGGAGGAAGGUGGGGAUGACGUCAAGUCAUCAUGGCCCUUACGACCAGGGCUACACACGUGCUACAAUGGCGCAUACAAAGAGAAGCGACCUCGCGAGAGCAAGCGGACCUCAUAAAGUGCGUCGUAGUCCGGAUUGGAGUCUGCAACUCGACUCCAUGAAGUCGGAAUCGCUAGUAAUCGUGGAUCAGAAUGCCACGGUGAAUACGUUCCCGGGCCUUGUACACACCGCCCGUCACACCAUGGGAGUGGGUUGCAAAAGAAGUAGGUAGCUUAACCUUCGGGAGGGCGCUUACCACUUUGUGAUUCAUGACUGGGGUGAAGUCGUAACAAGGUAACCGUAGGGGAACCUGCGGUUGGAUCACCUCCUUA